AACGAACGCUGGCGGCAUGCCUAACACAUGCAAGUCGAACGAGACCUUCGGGUCUAGUGGCGCACGGGUGCGUAACGCGGGGGAACCUGCCCUUAGGUUCGGAAUAACUCCCCGAAAGGGGUGCUAAUACCGGAUAAUGUCUUCGGACCAAGGAUUUAUCGCCGUUGGAUGGGCCCGGGUUGGAUUAGCUAGUUGGUAGGGUAAAAGCCGGCCAAGGGGAGGAUCCUUAGCUGGUCUGAGAGGAGGAUCAGCCACACUGGGACUGAGACACGGCCCAGACUGCUACGGGAGGCAGCAGUGGGGAAUAUUGGACAAUGGGCGAAAGCCUGAUAAAGCAACGCCGGGUGAGUGAUGAAGGGCUUAGGGUUGUAAAGCUCUUUUACCCGGGAUGAUAAUGACAGUACCGGGAGAAUAAGCACCGGCUAACUACGUG
rnacentral:rRNA from 1 species